rnacentral:rRNA from 1 species
UACGGGGGGAGCAAGCGUUGUUCGGAUUUACUGGGCGUAAAGGGUGCGUAGGUGGUUGGGUAAGUCUGAUGUGAAAUCUCCGGGCUCAACCCGGAAAUGGCAUUGGAUACUAUUUGACUAGAGGGUUGGAGGGGGGACUGGAAUACUUGGUGUAGCAGUGAAAUGCGUAGAUAUCAAGUGGAACACCAGUGGCGAAGGCGAGUCCCUGGACAACUCCUGACACUGAGGCACGAAAGCUAGGGGAGCAAACAGG